rnacentral:rRNA from 1 species
UGCCAGCCGCCGCGGUAAUACGGAGGAUCCAAGCGUUAUCCGGAAUCAUUGGGUUUAAAGGGUCCGUAGGCGGUUUAAUAAGUCAGUGGUGAAAUCUGGUCGCUCAACGAUCAAACGGCCAUUGAUACUGUUAGACUUGAAUUAUUAGGAAGUAACUAGAAUAUGUAGUGUAGCGGUGAAAUGCUUAGAUAUUACAUGGAAUACCAAUUGCGAAGGCAGGUUACUACUAAUGGAUUGACGCUGAUGGACGAAAGCGUGGGGAGCGAACAGGAUUAGAUACCCUGGUAGUCCACGCCGUAAACGAUGGAUACUAGCUGUUGGGAGCAAUCUCAGUGGCUAAGCGAAAGUGAUAAGUAUCCCACCUGGGGAGUACGUUCGCAAGAAUGAAACUCAAAGAAAUUGACGG